rnacentral:rRNA from 1 species
AUGAACGCUAGCUACAGGCUUAACACAUGCAAGUCGAGGGGCAGCAUUUCAGUUUGCUUGCAAACUGGAGAUGGCGACCGGCGCACGGGUGAGUAACACGUAUCCAACCUGCCGAUAACUCGGGGAUAGCCUUUCGAAAGAAAGAUUAAUACCCGAUGGUAUAAUCAGACCGCAUGGUCUUGUUAUUAAAGAAUUUCGGUUAUCGAUGGGGAUGCGUUCCAUUAGGCAGUUGGUGAGGUAACGGCUCACCAAACCUUCGAUGGAUAGGGGUUCUGAGAGGAAGGUCCCCCACAUUGGAACUGAGACACGGUCCAAACUCCUACGGGAGGCAGCAGUGAGGAAUAUUGGUCAAUGGGCGCAGGCCUGAACCAGCCAAGUAGCGUGAAGGAUGACUGCCCUAUGGGUUGUAAACUUCUUUUAUAUGGGAAUAAAGUUUUCCACGUGUGGAAUUUUGUAUGUACCAUAUGAAUAAGGAUCGGCUAACUCCGUGCCAGCAGCCGCGGUAAUACGGAGGAUCCGAGCGUUAUCCGGAUUUAUUGGGUUUAAAGGGAGCGUAGGUGGACAGUUAAGUCAGUUGUGAAAGUUUGCGGCUCAACCGUAAAAUUGCAGUUGAUACUGGCUGUCUUGAGUACAGUAGAGGUGGGCGGAAUUCGUGGUGUAGCGGUGAAAUGCUUAGAUAUCACGAAGAACUCCGAUUGCGAAGGCAGCUCACUGGACUGCAACUGACACUGAUGCUCGAAAGUGUGGGUAUCAAACAGGAUUAGAUACCCUGGUAGUCCACACAGUAAACGAUGAAUACUCGCUGUUUGCGAUAUACAGUAAGCGGCCAAGCGAAAGCAUUAAGUAUUCCACCUGGGGAGUACGCCGGCAACGGUGAAACUCAAAGGAAUUGACGGGGGCCCGCACAAGCGGAGGAACAUGUGGUUUAAUUCGAUGAUACGCGAGGAACCUUACCCGGGCUUAAAUUGCAUUUGAAUAUAUUGGAAACAGUAUAGCCGUAAGGCAAAUGUGAAGGUGCUGCAUGGUUGUCGUCAGCUCGUGCCGUGAGGUGUCGGCUUAAGUGCCAUAACGAGCGCAACCCUUAUCUUUAGUUACUAACAGGUCAUGCUGAGGACUCUAGAGAGACUGCCGUCGUAGGAUGUGAGGAAGGUGGGGAUGACGUCAAAUCAGCACGGCCCUUACGUCCGGGGCUACACACGUGUUACAAUGGGGGGUACAGAAGGCAGCUACCUGGUGACAGGAUGCUAAUCCCAAAAGCCUCUCUCAGUUCGGAUCGAAGUCUGCAACCCGACUUCGUGAAGCUGGAUUCGCUAGUAAUCGCGCAUCAGCCAUGGCGCGGUGAAUACGUUCCCGGGCCUUGUACACACCGCCCGUCAAGCCAUGAAAGCCGGGGGUACCUGAAGUACGUAACCGCAAGGAGCGUCCUAGGGUAAAACUGGUAAUUGGGGCU